rnacentral:rRNA from 1 species
AUUGAACGCUGGCGGCAUGCCUUACACAUGCAAGUCGAACGGCAGCACGGGAGCAAUCCUGGUGGCGAGUGGCGAACGGGUGAGUAAUAUAUCGGAACGUGCCCAGUCGUGGGGAUAACGUAGCGAAAGCUACGCUAAUACCGCAUACGAUCUAUGGAUGAAAGCGGGGGAGUCGCAAGACCUCGCGCGAUUGGAGCGGCCGAUAUCAGAUUAGGUAGUUGGUGAGGUAAAGGACUCACCAAGCCGACGAUCUGUAGCUGGUCUGAGAGGACGACCAGCCACACUGGGACUGAGACACGGCCCAGACUCCUACGGGAGGCAGCAGUGGGGAAUUUUGGACAAUAGGGCGGCAAGCCUGAUCCAGCAAU